rnacentral:rRNA from 1 species
GACCGAUAGCGCAUAGUACCGUGAGGGAAAGGUGAAAAGAACCCCGGGAGGGGAGUGAAAUAGUACCUGAAACCGUAUGUCUACAAGCAGUCGAAGCGAAAGCGACGGCGUGCCUAUUGAAGAAUGAACCAACGAGUUAUCUGCACUAGCGAGGUUAAGUGGAAGACACGGAGCCGCAGCGAAAGCGAGUCUUAAGAGGGCGCUAGUUAGUGUAGGUAGACCCGAAACCGCAGUGAUCUACCCAUGUCCAGGUUGAAGCGCAGGUAAAAUUGCGUGGAGGACCGAACCGGUGAGCGUUGAAAAGCUUUCGGAUGAGAUGUGGGUAGGGGUGAAAUUCCAAUCGAACGCGGAGAUAGCUGGUUCUCCCCGAAAUAGCUUUAGGGCUAGCCUGAGGUAGUAAGUAUAGGCGGUAGAGCACUGAUCGGGCUAGGGGCCGUAAAGGUUACCGAACCCUGUCAAACUCCGAAUGGAUAUACUGUAGAGCCUUGGAGUCAGACUACGAGUGAUAAGAUCCGUGGUCAAAAGGGAAACAGCCCAGACCACCAGCUAAGGUCCCCAAUGUCGUACUAAGUGGAAAAGGAUGUGGGGUUUCAUAAACAACCAGGAUGUUGGCUCAGAAGCAGCCACCAUUUAAAGAGUGCGUAAUAGCUCACUGGUCGAGAGACCCUGCGCCGAAGAUUCCCGGGGCUAAAGUACGAAACCGAAGCUGUGGCUGUAUACGUAAAGUAUACGGGGUAGGGGAGCGUUCCCAUAGGGUAGAAGUCGAACUGGAAGGUUCGGUGGACUUGUGGGAAGUGAGAAUGUUGGUAUGAGUAGCGAAAAGAAAGGUGAGAAUCCUUUCCACCGAAAGCAUAAGGAUUCCUGAGCAACGAUCGUCGUCUCAGGGUAAGUCGGGACCUAAUCCGAGGCAGAGAGCGUAGGAGAUGGACAACUGGUUGAUAUUCCAGUACCGGUAGUAAUUGUUUGAGCAAUGGAGUGACACAGAAGGGCAGGCAAGCAUGCGAAUGGAAGAGCAUGUGUAAGCGUGUAGGGUGGUGCAUAGGCAAAUCCGUGCACUGAAAGCCUGAGGCGUGAUGCGGAGUGAGCAGAGAUGCGAGCGAAGUUGUUGACCCCACACUGUCGAGAAAAGCUUCUAGUGAGAGAGCUACCGCCCGUACCGUAAACCGACACAGGUAUGCGGGGAGAGAAUCCUAAGGUGCGCGGGAGAACCCUCGUUAAGGAACUCGGCAAAAUGUACCCGUAACUUCGGGAUAAGGGUAGCCACUGUUGUGAAGUCCCAUGCGGAUGGAGCAUAGAGUGGUCGCAGAGAAGAGGCCCAAGCGACUGUUUACCAUAAACACAGGUGCCUGCUAAAGCGAAAGCUGACGUAUAGGUGCUGACACCUGCCCAGUGCCGGAAGGUUAAGGAAGGAUGUUCGGAUUAGUCCAAAGCAUUCGACUGAAGCCCCGGUGAACGGCGGCCGUAACUAUAACGGUCCUAAGGUAGCGAAAUUCCUUGUCGGGUAAGUUCCGACCCGCACGAAAGGUGUAACGAUUUGGGCACUGUCUCAACGAGGGACCCGGUGAAAUUGAAAUACCUGUGAAGAUGCAGGUUACCCGCGACUGGACAGAAAGACCCCAUGGAGCUUUACUGUAACCUGACAUUGGGUUUUGAUACAUUACGUACAGGAUAGGUGGGAGGCAUGGAAAGCUGGACGCUAGUCUGGCUGGAGCCGACGUUGGGAUACCACCCUUGAUGUAUUGAAAUUCUAACCGCGAGAGUAACGAAAUCCGGGACAGUGUCAGGCGGGCAGUUUGACUGGGGCGGUCGCCUCCGAAAGAGUAACGGAGGCGCCCAAAGGUUCCCUCAGCGCGGCCGGAAAUCGCGCGAAGAGUGUAAAGGCAGAAGGGAGCUUGACUGCGAGUCAAACACGACGAGCAGGUACGAAAGUAGGGCUUAGUGAUCCGGUGGUACCGAGUGGAAGGGCCAUCGCUCAACGGAUAAAAGCUACCCUGGGGAUAACAGGCUAAUCUCUCCCAAGAGUCCAUAUCGACGGGGAGGUUUGGCACCUCGAUGUCGGCUCAUCACAUCCUGGGGCUGAAGUCGGUCCCAAGGGUUGGGCUGUUCGCCCAUUAAAGUGGUACGUGAGCUGGGUUCAGAACGUCGUGAGACAGUUCGGUCCCUAUCCAUCGCGGGCGCAAGAGAUUUGAAGGGGGCUGCUCCUAGUACGAGAGGACCGGAGUGGACGAACCGCUGGUGUACCAAUUAUCC